UUGUAUUUAAAGACUCGAUAGUUCAUGGGAUUUUGCAAUUCACACCAAGUAUCACAUUUCGCUAUGUUCUUCAUGGAUGCAAGAGCCGAGAUAUCCGUUGCCGAAAGUCGUUUGUGUUUCAAAAGAAGCACAAGUCCCUCGCGCACGCCGCGAACGGGGCACGAAGGGCAGGCAUUCAAUUUAGUAUGCCUUGGCACUUUCCACGCCGAGGUUCCUUAAUCACCCGGCAUGCACGCAAGCGCGCGCGUCGGGGAUACAGGAGGAAGCCGCACGGACGGAGGCCGAAGCAUCCCGGCCGCACCGCUCCCAAGUUUUUAAACAAGUUCGCGGGUCGUUCUGCCUUGCAGGUUUCGACAAUGAUCCUUCCGCAGGUUCACCUACGGAAACCUUGUUACGACUUCUCCUUCCUCUAAAUGAUAAGGUUCAAUGGACUUCUCGCGACGUCGCGGGCAGCAAACCGCCCACGUCUCCGCAAUCCGAACAUUUCACUGGAUCAUUCAAUCGGUAGGAGCGACGGGCGGUGUGUACAAAGGGAAGGGACGUAGUCAAUGCGAGCUGAUGACUCGCGCUUACUAGGAAUUCCUCGUUGAAGUCCAACAAUUGCAAUGAUCUAUCCCAUCACGAUGAAAUUUCAAAGAUUACCCGGGCCUGUCGGCCAAGGCUAUAAUCUCAUUGAAUACAUCCGUGUAGCGCGCAUGCGGCCCAGAACAUCUAAGGGCAUCAUAGACCUGUAAUUGCCUCAAACUUCCGUGGCCUAAAAGGCCGUAGUCCCUCUAAGAAGCUGGCCGCGAAGGGAUACCUCCGCAUAGCUAGUUAGCAGGCUGAGGUCUCGUUAUACAUCCGUGUAGCGCGCAUGCGGCCCAGAACAUCUAAGGGCAUCAUAGACCUGUAAUUGCCUCAAACUUCCGUGGCCUAAAAGGCCGUAGUCCCUCUAAGAAGCUGGCCGCGAAGGGAUACCUCCGCAUAGCUAGUUAGCAGGCUGAGCUCUCUUUCGUUAAUGAAAUUAAUCAGACAAAUCUCUCCACCAACUAUGAACGGCCAUGCACCACCACCCAUAGAAUCAAGAAAGAGCUCUCAGUCUUUCAAUCCUUACUAUUACUUUGAUUUCUCAUAAGGUGCCGGCGGAGUCCUAAAAGUAACAUCCACCGAUCCAUGGUCGGCAUCGUUUAUGGUUAAGACUAGGACGGUAUGUGAUCGUCUUCGAGCCCCCAACUUUCGUUCUUGAUUAAUGAAAACAUCCCUGGCAAAUGCUUUCGCAGUUUUUCGUCUUUCAUAAAUCCAAGAAUUUCACCUCUGGCUAUGAAAUACGAAUGCCCCCGACUGUCCCUGUUAAUCAUUACUCCGAUCCCGAAGGCCAACGUAAUAGGACCGAAAUCCUAUAAUGUUAUCCCAUGCUACUGACACGUACAUGGCCCUGUCCUAAUCAUUACUCCGAUCCCGAAGGCCAACGUAAUUGCACCGAAAUCCUAUAAUGAUAUCCCAUGCUAAUGUAUACAGAGCGUAGGCUUGCUUUGAGUACUCUAAUUUCUUCAAAGUAACAUCGCCGGAGGCACGACUUGGCCAAUUAAGGCCAGGAGCGCAUCACCGACAGAAGUGACGAGACGACCGGUGCACACCAAAGGCAGACCGGCCGGCCCAUCCCAAAGUCCAACUACGAGCUUUAUAACUGCAACAACUUAAAUAUACGUUAUAGGAGCUGGAAUUACCGCGGCUGCUGGCACCAGACUUGCCCUCCAAUGGAUCCUCAUUAAGGGAUUUAGAUUGUACUCAUUCCAAUUACCAGACUCAUAAAGCCCGGUAUUGUUAUUUAUUGUCACUACCUCCCCGUGUCAGGAUUGGGUAAUUUAUUUAGAUUGUACUCAUUCCAAUUACCAGACUCAUAAAGCCCGGUAUUGUUAUUUAUUGUCACUACCUCCCCAUGUCAUGAUUGGGUAAUUUGCGCGCGUGCUGCCUUCGUGGGAUGUGGUAGCCGUUUCCCAGGCUCCCUCUCCUGAAUUGAACCCUAAUUCUCCGUCACCUGUCACCACCAUGGUAGGCCACUAUCCUACCAUCGAAAGUUGAUAGGGCAGAAAUUUGAAUGAUGCGUCGCCGGCACGAUGGCAGUGCGAUCCGUCGAGUUAUCAGGAAUCAUCGCAGCAAUGGGCAGAGCCCGCGUCAACCAUUUUUCUAAUAAAUGCAUCCCUUCCAGAACUCAGGGUUUGUUGCACGUAUUAGCUCUAGAAUUACUACGGUUAUCCGAGUAGUAGAUACCAUCUAACAAACUAUAACUGAUUUAAUGAGCCAUUCGCAGUUUCACAGUCUGAAUUUGUUCAUACUUACACAUGCAUGGCAUAAUCUUUGAGACAAGCAUAUGACUACUGGCAGGAUCAACCAGGUAGCAUUCCUCAUUGAUGCCGGCGUCGCUUCAGCGUGGCUGACCCAAAAGGGCACGGCCAAGUCCAAGGCGAGCACGACUGUCAUUCGUAACGAGCAUUCUUUGGGCAGAUAGAAGCCAAUGAAGGCCCCAUGCCCAUUGUGUUUACCGAAUUCGAGAUCCCCAGCAUGCUACGUCGUGGACUAAGCCAUCGGAAGGCGAAGUUAGGACGGCCUGGGUCACAACUGCAGCUUUUAGUUCACCCCGCACGUCGAACGUGAGGGGAUAAAUGCGACCGGUUGUGCUUCAUAAUGCCUUGGAAUUAGGCAUGCAACACAGAAAACCGACGUCGAACAAGCCUAAUUUGCGCUUGUGACAUGACUGAGAUGGCAUGCGAGCUAGGACGUCGCUGNNNNUCAACUGCAGCUUUUGGUUCACCCCGCACGUCGAACGCGAAGGGAGAAAGGCGACCGAUUGUGCUUCAUAAUGCCUUGGAAUUAGGCAUGCAACACAGAAAACCGACGUCGAACAAGCCUAAUUUGCGCUUGUGACAUGACUGAGAUGGCAUGCGAGCUAGGACGUUGCUACUCGAGCAGGGAUACAACCUAGUCACACAAGCCGAACACCACUCAUGUGCCGCACGUACACUUGCGUCGCCGAUACAAAGCUAACACCAGCACCAACACGUGACGCGCAUCCAUGUGUUGUUGCUGAUGCCAACAUUGCAAAGCCAAGACAAGCCCCGCAAAGCACGAAUAGUGGGUUUGAACAAUGCCCUCGGCAACUUACUAAGCUUUUCCUCGUGCGCACGACACCUUGCGGUGCUACUUGCACAAUGCUUUGCCAUUUUGUUACCAAAAGCCAUCAGCCGCCAUGAGCGAUGUCGCCUCCCGAUGUUGCCCGCAACAGUUGAUGGCAAUCAGCAACUUUCUAAGCUUCGCCCUGUGCGCACGGCACCUUGCGGCGCUACUUGCACGAUGAUUUGCCAUUUUGUUGCCAAAAGCCAUCAGCUGCCACGAGCGAUGUCGCCUCCCGAUGUUUCCUGCCACACCGAUGGCAAUGAACAUCUAUUGAGCUUCGCCCCAUGCGCACGGCACCUUGCGGCGCUACUUGCACGAUGCUCUGCCGUUUGUUGUCAAAAGCCAUUAGCCGCCACGGAGACACAACCCACAACAAUCGAUGGCAAUAGGCAACUUACUAAGCUUCACCCUAUGCGCACGGCACCUUGCGGCGCUACUUGCACAACCCUCUGCCAUUCCAGUGCCGAAAGCCAUCAACCGCCAUAAGCGCCUGCAAUAACCGAUGGCAAUCAACAUCUACUGAGCUUCGCCCCAUGCGCACAGCACCUUGCGGCGCUACUUGCACGAGGCUCCGCCGUUCAUUGUUGAAAGCCAUAUGCCGCCACGAGAGAUUCCAGACACAACCCACAACAACCGAUGGCAAUCAACAACUUACUAAGCUACGCCCCAUGCGCACGGCACCUUGCAGCACUACAUGCACGACGCUUUGUUGUUCUGUUGUCAAAAGCCAUUAGCCGCCACGAGCGAUAUCGCCUCCCGAUUUUGCCCGCAACAUCCAGUGGUGAUCAACAAGUACUAAGCUUCGCCCCAUGCGCACGGCACGUUGCGGCGCUACUUGCAUGACGCUCCACCGUUCAUUGCCAAAAGCCAAUGUUUGCCACGAGCGGUGCCAUCACCAGGCUUACUAGAAGCCCACACGAGUACCUGCCGUCACGGUUUGGGAACAUCGAGGACGUAGCGCGCACAAGCCGUGCAUGCGCCCAAUGCCCACGCCCCAUGCCAGCGUCCCCCAUGCAGGCCCGCCCCUUCCUGGCAGCAAGCACUUGAGGCGCCUUUCAACACCUCUACCCCCCUUAUAUAUGCUUAAAAAAAAACCCAAGUGUCAGGAGUAGACAUGUUUUGUACAGAGAAUCAUAAUAGACAUGUACAACACCAAAUAGCACAAACAAAAGUACAACAUGGCAAAUAUAUUCACAAAUGACUUUUAAACAUUGUAAAUCUUAUUUUCUACAUAAAAUAAUAUUUUGUUUGAAAUAUUUUUAAUAAAAACGAAAAUACUUAAUAAAAUUCUAAAAAAUAUGAAAAUUAUUAUAAAAAUAGAAAAAAUGAUGGAGAAAAAUUCCAAUGCAACUUGUAAUAGUAUAACAUAUAAAAGAGUAAAAAAUUUUAUUAAAAAAGUGACAUAAAAAUAAUUUAAAAUAAAAAAAAAUGCGUAAAUAUUACUAAAACAUAUAUUAAAAAUAGGAAAAACACAUAAUAUUAUUAUAAAAGCGUAUAGAUGACCAACCGCCAAUAAGCACGACGCACCUCCAUUGUCACAACUACAACAAGUGAUUCCGAUUUGAAAAAACCGCCUCCAACCACAAAUCGUCAACCAACCGUCGCCGGUGGAUACCGCUCGAGCCAACGCGACUUUACACCACCACCACCAACGACCACCAACAUAAUUGAGCUUGACAUGUUGCCCAACCACAACAAAUGAUUAGGAUUUGAAGAAACCGCCGCCAACCACAAAGCAACGAUCGGCCGUCGCCCGAUGCUACCGCUCGAACCACCCCAACUUUCCACCACCGCCACCAACGACCACCUACAUCAUUGCGCUUGACAUGUUUCUAAGCAUUGGUAAG
rnacentral:lncRNA from 1 species